UGUGAGCAUCCAAAACCAACAAUGAAAAAAAUCUUAAAUUUCACAGGAUUCUGACCUCAACCUCAUCAUUCUUCACAUAGAUCUUUGUUCCAGAACCACUUGGGAGCGUUUUGUGUGUGUAACCCAGGUUAAAAAUCAUGGAAACAGUUAUUUUCCAUCCGUCCUGAGUGCACCUGAAUGCACCUUUACGCUGCGUGUUGACUACCUCGCACAACUCCGGUCACGUGACAGAGCGAGCCAAUCGCGUCUCAGAGUGACCUGCUUUUCAUGCUUCGGCUGCUUUCCCCACUCAGACGUGUGGGGGGAAGCCAGCCGACAGCUGCGAGCAGAAGUCACUGCCGGGCCUGCAGGGAGUCCCUAGCUGCCAUCAUGUGCCGUUAAUGUGAGGAACUGGCCGGGUUUCCAUCCUGGACUGGAGUGGAGCUGAUGGCAGCCAAGAAACCAUAGCUUGGACUCAGCUACAACCAACAGGCCUUUGUCCUACUGGUCUGGUAGGAAGGCUCGCAGCCUGUCCUCCCCUCCAUACACCUCACGACACUGAUUGCCCAACCUGCUCGCACUCCCCUUUCCCAUGGAUAAUACAACUGGACAUUUUCAAUUGAACUUUCACUAAACCCUCCUGGGUUGUUGGCAUCGGUUUUUGACUGUGUAUGUAAUCACCAGGGGUUAAUUUAUUUACCCGGACGGCUUAUUUUGAGGGCUUUGUGUUGUUGUCAAUGAACAACCCUGAACAGUGAUCAAGCGCUUUAUUCAAACUUCAACCGGUCAACUGCUGCAGUAUUGUAAAUAUUUUCUUUUUGUUAAUUAUUUUGUGUUUUUGGGAUAUUUCUUUUGUAUAAUUUGUU